UACUUUGGAGGGGAAAAUAACCUGCACAUUCAAAGAGAAAAUUCCAACAGAAAGGCCCAGCUGGGUUUCAACCUACAAACUUUACACACUAAAACAUGACCUUGAGCCAGAACUUUAUUAGAGUUUAAUUUGCGACCUCUUCUUGGAGCUUGUGACAAGCCAAGGAUGCUACUGCUGUCUCAUGGGGUCUAUGAGGGCAUGGAAGUCUCCACAUAGUGAACAAUGGUCACUGGUCCUCAUAUCCAACAGUCGCAGUGCAAGGGGCAGGUAAAAACUGGACAUGAAUAAAUGUUUUGGCUCUCCUCCAAGACAAAGAAAACCCCGUCCAGAAGACCUAUGCGUUUUUGAAAUUUUUCUGGAUUAUUGAGACACAUCAGGACAUCUAUCCAGAGAGGUCCCCACAAGGAUUCAAUCUGGCAACCUUGAUGAGAGGAAACAACUGAGCCCCUGUGCCAUCAAAUCCAAAAAUCAUUUCUUUUUAAUUUGCACUAUGAUUAGAUUUGUGGACUUGCCACAAACAAGACUCAGUGGUAUUGCCUUCUCUACCUGCAAGCAUCUUACAAACUUUCAUAAGCUUUUGUUUGUCUGAGUUUUUUUAUUUUAUAAUCCAUAAAUACACAAAAGAUUCUGCUUAGGUAACACUACAAAUGAAUGCCUUCACACUUUCAAAAGACAAACAAAAAUUCAGCGUAAUAAUCCAAUGCACAUCUUACACUGUAAUAAGUACUUUUUUUUCUUUUUUUACAAAUUAAGUUCUUAUUUUAAAUUAUUUAUUUGUUUUAAUUUAAAAAUGCAGAUGGGAGAGACCUGUCUAAAGUCAGAUUUGUGUCAAGUCCAGCUCCUGGUUGUAGUUUUGUUACUARGUUUUCCUUUUAAACUGCCAAAAAUCAAACAAAAAAGUUACUUUCAUUUACAAAAAAUAAUCUGUUCUUGAACCUUUAACUUAGCUCCUCUUUACACAAUUGACACAAACAAAAUGUUUGACACGGUGGACUUCCUUGCACUGGAGAAACUCUGUCAAAUAUGCAGUAUAAUUUAGUGGAUCUUAUUUAAAGUGCUGCUUUAACCCAGAUGUCCAGAUAUUCCCAGGCAAUAGGCGAAUGUAAAUAUUUGAUAUCUCCUCAAUCAAUGAGUGUUCACUUGAUAUGAAACUAAGCAUUGCCAAAGAAUAUCAAAGGCCUUUCUGUGUUCAGUCAUAAAUAUUUCAUUUUCGUUAGCCAUUUGGAUUGAAUAUUUAAUUAAAUCUCCCUUUCCCUGYGGAAAAAUGCAUAAAGAACAGCAUUUAAUUUGAUACUUAAAGGCAAUGAGCUGAUAACCUAGGCRCACACCCGCAGCAAUUGAAUCAACAUUUAUCCUUGUGGGGUUUUUUUCACAUUGGCAGUYUAGUGAAGUGUACUUGCUUAAAAGAAAAAAAAAAGGUAGUGCGGCUGUAGACGCCUUGAUAAAACAUUCAUGCGACAGCAGCCAUGAAUAAAACAUACAGGAAUGAUCCAUGGGUCAAGCCACCUGUAAAUGUGGGCAGAGCUGUGUGUCAUGAGAUGUAAAUAUYGUUAAGCCUGAGACUUUCAAUGUAACAGAGAUGCUUGAGCUCCUCGGAGGUGAAACAGUUUUCAGACAGAAAUAAUCUGCACAGUUUACGAAACCAUUCAGCUUUGAGUAAACGCCAGGCUUCRAAUGAUAAAGUCAUUACCUGUCGUAAUUUUACCUGUCACUGUCAAACUGAUGGAGCCCUAAAGGACCGAGCAGACAGACAGAAAGAAGAUCAUGAYGGAAUUAAAACUGUAUUAAAAUGCAAAAAUUAUAAGCUCUUUUUAAAUUGUCUUYAAAUUUGUAAUAACUUUGAAACAGAGCAAACACUGCAUGGUUCCAAUAAAUCAAUUAUGGAUUGCCUUGAAGCAAAUAAGUCAAAGAUUUUACAAAAAAAAAAAAAACUUCACUUUUGCUCAUUUCAAAGUUUAUUUGAGUUAUAAAGAUUGAAAAAAAAAUCAUUACUCCAGCAGGAAUUCAGCAGCUAGAGUUCUGAUGGAAGGUUUCAUCMGUCCGUUUUAAAUUCCAAAGGCUCACUCUAACACUGGGCUACCAAACAUUU